rnacentral:rRNA from 1 species
AUUGAACGCUGGCAGCAUGCCUUACACAUGCAAGUCGAACGGCAGCACGGGAGCAAUCCUGGUGGCGAGUGGCGAACGGGUGAGUAAUAUAUCGGAACGUGCCCAGUCGUGGGGGAUAACGUAGCGAAAGCUACGCUAAUACCGCAUACGAUCUAUGGAUGAAAGCGGGGGAUCGCAAGACCUCGCGCGAUUGGAGCGGCCGAUAUCAGAUUAGGUAGUUGGUGAGGUAAAGGCUCACCAAGCCGACGAUCUGUAGCUGGUCUGAGAGGACGACCAGCCACACUGGGACUGAGACACGGCCCAGACUCCUACGGGAGGCAGCAGUGGGGAAUUUUGGACAAUGGGCGCAAGCCUGAUCCAGCAAUGCCGCGUGCAGGAUGAAGGCCUUCGGGGUUUCGGUUAAACGUUA